CCAAUAGCGUAUAUUAAAGUUGUUGCAGUUAAAAAGCUCGUAGUUGAAUUUCGGGGUUAGUAGAUUGGUCAUGCCUUUGGUAUGUACUGGUCUUACUGAUUCCUCCUUCCUGAUGAACCGUAAUGCCAUUAAUUUGGUGUUGCGGGGAGACUGGACUGUUACUUUGAAAAAAUUAGAGUGUUUAAAGCAAGCUAACGCUUGAAUACAUUAGCAUGGAAUAAUGAAAUAGGACGUUCGAUCUUAUUUUGUUGGUUUCUAGGAUUGACGUAAUGAUUAAUAGGGAUAGUUGGGGGCAUUAGUAUUCAAUUGGCAGAGGUGAAAUUCUUGGAUUUAUUGAAGACUAAAUACUGCGAAAGCAUUUGCCAAGGAUGUUUUCAUUAAUCAAGAACGAAAGUUAGGGGAUCGAAGACGAUCAGAUACCGUCGUAGUCUUUACCAUAAACUAUGCCGACUAGGGAUCGGAUGAUGUUAAUUUUUUAAUGACUCAUUCGGCGCCUUACG
rnacentral:rRNA from 1 species